GGUCCCACCUGACCCCAUGCCGAACUCAGAAGUGAAACGCCGUAGCGCCGAUGGUAGUGUGGGGUUUCCCCAUGUGAGAGUAGGGAACUGCCAGGC
rnacentral:rRNA from 1 species